GAUGAAGAACGUAGCGAAAUGCGAUAAGUAAUGUGAAUUGCAGAAUUCAGUGAAUCAUCGAAUCUUUGAACGCACAUUGCGCCCGCCAGUAUUCUGGCGGGCAUGCCUGUUCGAGCGUCAUUUCAACCAUCAAGCCCCAGGCUUGCGUUGGGGACCUGCGGCUGCCGCAGGCCCUGAAAACCAGUGGCGGGCUCGCUGUCACACCGGGCGUAGUAGAUUUUAUCUCGCUCAGGGCGUGCUGCGGGUUCCGGUCGUUAAAAAGCCUUUUUUACCCAAGGUUGACCUCGGAUCAGGUAGGAAGACCCGCUGAACUUAAGCAUAUCAAUAAGCGGAGGA
rnacentral:misc_RNA from 1 species